AUUGAACGCUGGCGGCAUGCCUUACACAUGCAAGUCGAACGGCAGCGGACCUUCGGGUGCCGGCGAGUGGCGAACGGGUGAGUAAAGUAUCGGAACGUACCUUUCAGUGGGGGAUAACUGUCCGAAAGGACAGCUAAUACCGCAUAUUCUGUGAGCAGGAAAGCAGGGGAUCGCAAGACCUUGCGCUGAUUGAGCGGCCGAUAUCAGAUUAGCUAGUUGGUGAGGUAAAGGCUCACCAAGGCGACGAUCUGUAGCGGGUCUGAGAGGAUGAUCCGCCACACUGGAACUGAGACACGGUCCAGACUCCUACGGGAGGCAGCAGUGGGGAAUUUUGGACAAUGGGGGCAACCCUGAUCCAGCCAUGCCGCGUGAGUGAAGAAGGCCU
rnacentral:rRNA from 1 species